rnacentral:snoRNA from 1 species
GAGUGGAGAUGGGAUUGAGAGAGAAUAUGAGAGGAGAGGAUGGGAGGGAGGAGUAACAAAAGUGAACAAAAACUAAAAACUGAAGUCUAUUUGAAAUUGUUUUCACUUUCAAGUUUUUGUUUUCACUUUUGUUACUCCUCCCUCUCAUCCUCUUUCUCAAUCUCAUCCUCACUUCCAUUCUCACUCU